CACGUAGGGGGCAAGCGUUGUCCGGAUUUAUUGGGCGUAAAGAGCUCGUAGGCGGCUUGGCAAGUCGGGUGUGAAACCUCCAGGCUCAACCUGGAGACGCCACUCGAUACUGCCAUGGCUAGAGUCCGGUAGGGGACCACGGAAUUCCUGGUGUAGCGGUGAAAUGCGCAGAUAUCAGGAGGAACACCGGUGGCGAAGGCGGUGGUCUGGGCCGGCACUGACGCUGAGGAGCGAAAGCGUGGGUAGCAAACAGG
rnacentral:rRNA from 1 species